rnacentral:tRNA from 1 species
UUAGUUGAAGCCAAAAAGGAGGCUAGUCACUGUUGAUGAUUAAACUGACUUAUGUCCUGCUGUU